GAUGAACGCUGGCGGCGUGCCUAAUACAUGCAAGUCGAGCGAACGGACGAGAAGCUUGCUUCUCUGAUGUUAGCGGCGGACGGGUGAGUAACACGUGGAUAACCUACCUAUAAGACUGGGAUAACUUCGGGAAACCGGAGCUAAUACCGGAUAAUAUUUUGAACCGCAUGGUUCAAAAGUGAAAGACGGUCUUGCUGUCACUUAUAGAUGGAUCCGCGCUGCAUUAGCUAGUUGGUAAGGUAACGGCUUACCAAGGCAACGAUGCAUAGCCGACCUGAGAGGGUGAUCGGCCACACUGGAACUGAGACACGGUCCAGACUCCUACGGGAGGCAGCAGUAGGGAAUCUUCCGCAAUGGGCGAAAGCCUGACGGAGCAACGCCGCGUGAGUGAUGAAGGUCUUCGGAUCGUAAAACUCUGUUAUUAGGGAAGAACAUAUGUGUAAGUAACUGUGCACAUCUUGACGGUACCUAAUCAGAAAGCCACGGCUAACUACGUGCCAGCAGCCGCGGUAAUACGUAGGUGGCAAGCGUUAUCCGGAAUUAUUGGGCGUAAAGCGCGCGUAGGCGGUUUUUUAAGUCUGAUGUGAAAGCCCACGGCUCAACCGUGGAGGGUCAUUGGAAACUGGAAAACUUGAGUGCAGAAGAGGAAAGUGGAAUUCCAUGUGUAGCGGUGAAAUGCGCAGAGAUAUGGAGGAACACCAGUGGCGAAGGCGACUUUCUGGUCUGUAACUGACGCUGAUGUGCGAAAGCGUGGGGAUCAAACAGGAUUAGAUACCCUGGUAGUCCACGCCGUAAACGAUGAGUGCUAAGUGUUAGGGGGUUUCCGCCCCUUAGUGCUGCAGCUAACGCAUUAAGCACUCCGCCUGGGGAGUACGACCGCAAGGUUGAAACUCAAAGGAAUUGACGGGGACCCGCACAAGCGGUGGAGCAUGUGGUUUAAUUCGAAGCAACGCGAAGAACCUUACCAAAUCUUGACAUCCUUUGACAACUCUAGAGAUAGAGCUUUCCCCUUCGGGGGACAAAGUGACAGGUGGUGCAUGGUUGUCGUCAGCUCGUGUCGUGAGAUGUUGGGUUAAGUCCCGCAACGAGCGCAACCCUUAAGCUUAGUUGCCAUCAUUAAGUUGGGCACUCUAAGUUGACUGCCGGUGACAAACCGGAGGAAGGUGGGGAUGACGUCAAAUCAUCAUGCCCCUUAUGAUUUGGGCUACACACGUGCUACAAUGGACAAUACAAAGGGCAGCGAAACCGCGAGGUCAAGCAAAUCCCAUAAAGUUGUUCUCAGUUCGGAUUGUAGUCUGCAACUCAACUACAUGAAGCUGGAAUCGCUAGUAAUCGUAGAUCAGCAUGCUACGGUGAAUACGUUCCCGGGUCU
rnacentral:rRNA from 1 species